rnacentral:rRNA from 1 species
UACGUAGGGGGCUAGCGUUGUCCGGAAUCACUGGGCGUAAAGCGCGUGUAGGCGGCCUGCUAAGUCUGAUGUGAAAGCCCGAGGCUCACCCUCGGAAGCGCAUUGGAAACUGGCAGACUGGAGUCCCGGAGAGGAGGGUGGAAUUCCUGGUGUAGCGGUGAAAUGCGUAGAUAUCAGGAGGAACACCGGUGGCGAAGGCGGCCCUCUGGACGGUGACUGACGCUGAGACGCGAAAGCGUGGGGAGCAAACAGG